UUUAGUUAUUUAAAUCUUUAAACGUGUAACCCUAUAAAGGGAAAAGUCUUUUAUUUUUAUUGGCAAUCAAUAUUAUUACAAGUUCCUAAAACAGAUCUGGGUUGAAACAACCCUAGUCUCGGUCACUGUUCCAUUAAUUCCAGUCGCUAAUCCACUCUUCCUUCUUAAUUUUUCCAAGUUCACUCCAUCAUUGGUGCUUUCAAGCCCUCUGCCGACUGGUUUUAGUUCACAGUCCGGGGAUCAUCUGAAGAUCUUCAGAAGAAGGAGACCACCUCCUGGAAAAAAAAAAACAAAGAAAAAAAAGCAAUCCAAAAGUAUGUUCUCUGCUUAAGAGAUCCCAAUUAGGAAUAUAUAAAUCUUAUUACAUUCAGUAGUAAUUCUAUUAUUGAAUACAAUAGCUAAAUAUUUUCAGAUCACUAAAUACCAUUGGAGAAGAACUGAAGAAGGUUUUGUAAGCAAAUAAAUCCUACAAACAAACUCUUCAAAAGCUUGUUUUCUCCUUAAGAGAUCCAGAUCAGGGACGUGAUUAAUUACCCUUAUUUUUACUUGUUCUUCUAUUCAAUGAUAAAAUUUUCAUUUCAGAGUGACAACUUGGAGGAAUGGCUGAAUCUAUGGAUGUCCAACUCAAGAGACUACAAAUAAAACAGGACAUUGAGGCUGAAAGACUAAGAAACACGGAACAAACAUUAUCAAAGAUGAGUGAAACACUAUUGCUCAUAAGUCAUAAGCAAUCCAGAAAGCCAAGAACAACAAAAACAAGAGAUGAAAUACAAGUCAAUUAGGACAAAGAUGCCUAAGUUCGAUGGGGAGAACGUUCAAGGCUGGAUUUACAAAGCAAACAAAUAUCUGAGGUAUCAUAAUAUACCUGAUGAGGAGAGGAUUACAGUGGCUACAUUUAAUAUGGAAGGGGAAGUUUUAGAAUGGCUUCUAUAGGCUGAUAAUAAUAACACACUUAAGUCUUGGUCAGAUUUUCUUGAUGACCUGGUGAAAAGAUUUGGGACUUCAGCAUAUGAAAUACCUGCGGGCAGACUGAGUAAGCUGAUACAAACUGGUUCUGUGAAGGAGUACCAACAUCAAUUCGAAGCAUUAUCUGGCAAGGUGACUGAUGUCAACCCCAGGGUUAUGAAGGAAAUGUUUAUGUCUGGGUUGAAGAAUGAAAUUCAGAAAGAUGUUAUUAAGGCUAGGCCUGAAAAUUUAGUGGAGGCAUUUGCUCUGGCCCAACUGUAUGAAAGAAAUGACAUGACCACUAAUAUUGUGAGAUAUUGCCCACCUUCAAGGUCUGUAGUUGGAGAGAUUAAUUCUAAACCAUCUAGUUCAUUACAGCCUUACAUACCACCACACAGGAAAACACUAGCACUACCACCAACUGAAUCCCAAAAAGGACCUAUGCUGAGACAGAAACUCACCCCUGCUGAGAUGAGAAUAAAAAGAUCAAAAACUGAGUGCUUUAAUUGCACUGAAAAAUGGGAAAAAGGUCACAAAUGCAAAGAAAGAUUAUUCCUUCUAUCAGUUGAUGGAGUGUAUUUUGCUGAGUAUACAGAGCCUAAUAAAGAUGAAAAACAGUUUGUUCAUGCUGUGGAGGAAAUCAGGGCUGAGCACACUCACAUAAGUUACCACUCCUUAUAAGGCCAACUGAGCCCAAGAACUCUGAAAUUAUCAGCUAGUAUUAAUAAUUUAAGAGUGCAUGUUCUGCUAGAUUAUGGUUCUACUCACAAUUUCCUUCAGGAAGGCUAAGCACUUGAAACUGCCAAUCACUCCUAUUCCUUCAUUCUUAGUUUCAACAGGAAGUGGGGUUUCCUUAAGGUGUGAUAAAAUGUGUAAACAGGUUAAAAUGACUGUCCAAGGUGUGUAACAAUGACAAUUGAUAUAUUUGUUCUGAAUAUGGAAGGAGCCAACCUUGUAUUAGAGAUUCAAUGGUUUAAAAUUGUAGGAUCAGUUCUGUCUAAUUAUAUCGAUAUGAACAUUGAGUUUAAUUGGAAAGGAGAAAGGAUUAAAUGGGUGGGGGAACCAAUACUAUCAGAUUACCUACUAUCAAAAGAAUGAGAUGAAUUCCUUAGCAGCUACUACUAUGUGAGCAUUUUUUGCAGAUUUGAGUAUAUUGGGGAGGCCAACUCUAAUGAAAAGAAUGAGAAGUUAGACACUGAAAACAAAGAGGAGGUACUUACCUCUAUAAAAACUGAAUUUUCUGAUGUGUUUGAUGAAUCUAGUGGGCUACCACUUCCUAGAUCCCAGUCACUGGAAAAUCUGGUAGACCCUGUCAGUGUAAGGGCAUACAGACAGGCCCAAUUUCAAAAAGAUGAAAUUGAGAGAAUUGUGCAAGAAAUGUUGAAACAACAAAUAGUUAGAGAAAGCAGCAGUCUCUAUUCUUCUCCAGUAUUGUUAGUUAAGAAGAAAGAUGGAAGCUGGAGAUUGUGUGUUGAUUACAGGGCAUUAAAUAAAAUCACAAUUAAGGAUAAAUUUUCUAUACCAACAGUGGAUGAAAUUCUUACAUAACUAAAGGGGGCUAAAAUAUUUUCAAAAUUGGAUUUAAGGUCUGGCUAUCAUCAGAUCUUAAUAAAUCCUAAUGAUGUGGAAAAGACAGCCUUUAGAACUUAUCAGAGACAUUAUGAAUUCCUAGUGAUGCCCUUUGGCCUCACCAAUGCACCAGGCACUUCAGGCCACUAUGAACAGGAUAUUUUUGCCAUUUCUAAGAAAAUUUGUUCUUAUUUUUUUUGAUGAUAUCUUAAUUUUCAGUUCUUCCAAGGAGGAUCACAUAGACAAUCUCAAAACUGUACUGAGAACACUCAAGGAUCAUCAUCUCUAUGCUAAGAAAUCGAAAUGCUUUUUUUUUCCAAACUGAGUUACAAUUUCAUGGGCAUAUUAUAUCAAGAGAAGGGAUCAACCCUGACCCAGAAAAGGUAUCAGCUAUUGUGAAUUGGCCAACACCAAAGAAUGUUAAAGCACUAAGGGGAUUCUUAAGACUAUCAGGUUAUUAUAGAAAGUUUGUUAAAAACUAUUCUUAUCUAGCAGCAUCAAUGACUGACUUAUUAAAAAAAGACCAGUUCACAUGGAAUGAGCUAGCAGAGAAGAGUUUUAUGGCAGUUAAAAAAGCUAUCACUUCAGCCCCAGUUCUACACCACCCUGAUUUCUCUAAACCCUUUUCUAUUGAAACUGAUGCUUGUCUUAAUGAAGUUGGGGCAGUUCUGAGUGAUCAGGAGGGCCACCCCAUUGCUUUUUUUAGUUCAAAAAUAACUGGGAGAAUGCUCUUAGCUUCAACAUAUGCAAAGGAGAUGCUAGUUAUAACACAAAUUGUUUCUAAAUGGAGGCACUAUCUAUUAGGCCAUCAUUUUGUGAUCCAUACAGACUAUCAAAGCAUUAAAAAUAUGAUAAGUCAGAUUAUCCAAACUCUAGAUCAACAAAAAUUCUUAUGCCAACUAUUGGGAUUUGAUUAUUCAAUUAAAUACAAGCCCGGGAAAGAGAACAAGACAGUUGAUGCUCUUUCAAGGCAAUUUGAGAGUGUGGAGCAAGAAAAAGAAGCUCAAGGGGGAUCAAUUCUGAGCUUGUAUAUUGUGAUAAGUUAAUUGGCAAAGUAAAGGAAGAACAAAACUCAAAGGCAGAUUUAUUAGCAAUGAAGGAAGCAAUUCUUAAGGGGACUGAAAAGAACAAUUUUAUGGCUAUAAUCAGAUAAGGGUUACUACUCAUGGAAGACAAAUAUGUAGUAUCACACACUUUAAACCUCAUUAGUGAUAUUCUGAGAGAAUACCAUGACAGCAUAAUUGGGGGCGCCCACUCGGGGGUGGAAAGGACUAUUAAGAGAAUUAAACUAGUUUUUUGGUGGAAAGAGAUGUCCAAAGAAAUCAGAAAAUAUGUUGAUGAGUGUGUGGUAUGCCAAAGGAUGAAAACACCUAAAAAAAGCCUCAAGGUCUUUUAAGACCUCUCCCUACACCUGAGGCAGUAUGGCAUGAUCUUUCAACUGAUUUUAUAACCAACCUUCCAUUGGUAAAAGGGAAAUCAGUAAUUAUAGUAGUAGUAGUAGACAGAUUAUCCAAGUUCUGCCAUUUAAGGGCUCUAUCAGCAGAAUUCAGUUCUAUGAUGGUGGCAGCCUAUUUUGUGCAAGAGAUCAUCAUACUUCAUGGAAUUCCAGCAUCUAUUAUGUCUGACAGAGAUAAAGUCUUUACUAGCAUCUUUUGGAAGGAAAUUAAUAGGCUAAGUGGAACCACUCUAAAGAUGCCUUCAGCCUAUCACCUAGAGAUAGAUGGCCAAACUGAAGUGGUGAAUAGGGGUAUUGAAAUGUUCCUGAUAUAUUUAGUUCAUGAUCAACUAAAGAAAUGGUUACAACUACUUCCUUGGGCAGAGUUGUGGCAUAAUUCCACUUUUAAUGUGUCUAUAGGAAUGACACCCUUCAUGGCUCUAUAUGGAAGGGAAGCUAAUUCUUUUGUUGAAUAGGCUAGAGGGAGUUCAUCUAACCUAGAGGCGGAAGAGGAGUUACUAAGAAGGCAAGAAAUAAUUGAAGUUGUUAAAAUUAAUCUAGACAGAGCAAAGGAAAGAAUGAAGAGUCAAGCAGACCUCCAUAGAAGUGAUAUCGAAUUUACAGUGGGAGAUUGGGUGUUCAUCAAAUUGAAGCCCUAUAGGCCAAUAUCUAUAGCAUAGAGACCCCAUCACAAACUCUCUACAAGAUUCUACGGGCCAUACAAGAUUUCAAAAAAAAAAGUGAAGUGGCUUAUAAGGUUAAUUUACCACUUAACUGGUCAAUUCAUGGUGUUUUUCAUAUUAGCUUGCUAAAGAAAUACAAAGGAAAAUUACCUCCAGAGGAAAUUGAAGUCUUGUCCAAAAUUUCGGUGGGAAGCGAGCUAGUGAUUUAUCCGGAGGAAGUUCUGGAUAGAAGGUCCCUGUUGGGAAAGGGGAGGAUGAAAGAACAAGUACUGAUCAGCUGGGCAAGCCGUGACCAGAAGGAGACAUCCUGGGAAGAGGUGGAGCACCUGCAGAGGGAAUUUCCAUCCCUCAACCUUGAGGACAAGGUCGAUCCCAUGGAGAAUGGAGAUGAUAGAGUCCUGUUGGAGGAGGAUCCGAUUCUAAGAAAUUUUCAGCAGCAGAGCGCGGAUGUGAAUGCUGAGGAGGAGAGCGACGAUGACCGGAUUUCAACUGUUGGCCGGCCAGUGAGGAGCAAGAUCCUGUGUACGCGACUAAAG
rnacentral:lncRNA from 1 species